AUUGAACGCUGGCGGCAGGCCUAACACAUGCAAGUCGAGCGAGCGGCGGACGGGUGAGUAAGGUCUGGGAAACUGCCUGAUGGAGGGGGAUAACUACUGGAGACGGUAGCUAAUACCGCAUACCAUCAGAUGUGCCCCGGUGGGAUUAGCUAGUAGGUGGGGUAACGGCUCACCUAGGCGACGAUCCCUAGCUGGUCUGAGAGGAUGACCCGCCACACUGGAACUGAGACACGGUCCCGACUCCUGCGGGAGGCAGCAGUUGGGAAUAUUGCACAAUGGGCGCAAGCCGGAUGCAGCCAUGCCGCGUGUGGGAAGAAGGCCUUCGGGGUGUAAAGCACUUUCAGCGGGGAGGCGUUACCCGCAGAAGAAGCACCGGCUAACUCCGUGCCAGCAGCCGCGGUAAUAC
rnacentral:rRNA from 1 species